UUUCGGGAAAAAAAUAUCCUAUUAGGCAGAACACUAGUGUUUCUCUGAUAACAGUACCCGUUCCGCGUUUUACAAGAAUAAGGCGUCGUGACGACAACAAGCUCCCCCCUCCGGCCUGGCGUCACGCGGGAGAGGAAGGCUGCCGCCAUUACUACAAUUCAUCAUCCAUAUACAGAAAAAGCAGCAAUGGCAGCCUACAGACACCUGCUACGUAGAGUGGCUCACGUGGGACAAUGGGAAGACCUGGCCAUCAGGAGGAGAACCCGUUUGUUCAGGAGCCGUAGGGAUCCCUUUGAAAUGUACUCGGAAGAGGAGUUCACUCAACGCUUUCGGCUCUCCAAGCAAGUCACCCUGGAUCUCUUAUCAAAAAUCCAGCACCUAUUGCCAGAUUCUACCAGGAAAAGAGGGCUUCCAAUCCCACC